CCUACGGGUGGCAGCAGUGGGGAAUAUUGCACAAUGGGCGAAAGCCUGAUGCAGCAACGCCGCGUGAAGGAAGACGGUUUUCGGAUUGUAAACUUCUAUCAAUAGGGAAGAAAGAAAUGACGGUACCGAAAUAAGAAGCCCCGGCUAACUACGAGCCAGCAGCCGCGGUAAUACGUAGGGGGCAAGCGUUAUCCGGACUUACUGGGUGUAAAGGGAGAGUAGGUGGCAAGGUAAGCGAUAUGUGAAAGCCUUAAGCUUAACUUAAAGAUUGCAUAACGAACUAUCUAGCUAGAGUACAGGUGAGUCAAGCGGAAUUCCUAGUGUAGCGGUGAAAUGCGUAGAUAUUAGGAAGAACACCAGUGGCGAAGGCGGCUUUCUGGACUGAAACUGACGCUGAGGCUCGAAAGCGUGGGGAGCGAACAGGAUUAGAUACCCUGGUAGUC
rnacentral:rRNA from 1 species